UCUGGAAGGGUGAAAACCCUAGCCUCCUCACGUGUGGGGUAAAAAUCCCCACUCUCCCCCCGCGCCGCCGCCUCCCACUCGUCCGGCUGGGAGCUCGUCCUCCCGCCUUCCACCAUGGCUUGCAGCAGUCGGAGAAGAUGGAGAGGAGCUGGUCCGCCCGCCAUGGCUUGCAGCGGUCGGAGAAGAUGGAGAGGAGCUCCUCCGCCCAUCUUCCACCAUGGCUUGCAGCUGCCGGCGAAGAUGGAAAGGAUAGCAGGACCCUGCUCCACCGGUGCCGUCACAUAUUUGAAAAGGAUUAGGAGGAGCUAUGGAGGAGGACGAAUGAAAGAAGCAGGAGGAAGAGAUAUUCUUUUGCGAUUUGGUUGUCAUGGUGGUAUCAUCCCUACUGUCUCUUUUCUUUUUAGUUUCUAACUUUGAUGCUUGGAUUUGUUUUGUUGUCCAGCAGGAGGAGUAGGAGGAGACAUGGAGGAUGAGGAAGGAGACAAGCAGGAGGAAGAGAGAUUCUUGGGGGUGCAGCCUUAUCGACUCGCUAUAAACUGAUCAGGGCUGGAUUUUUUUAGUUUAUGCUUCGGGAGGAAUUGCAGCUGCAGACAAGUAGAAGAAUUGCCAUGGAGGCUUGACAAAAGCAGUCGUUCCCUUGGUAGUGGCUUGCGAGAGGUGUGGCUUGCUGAAAAAUAGGCUUUUUUCGUAGCUCCAAGUAUACAGGUGCAGGCCAAGGAGGUCGGCUAGGAUGAGGUUGGGUGAUGUGCACGAUGGAGAAAAAAGGUGCAGUUCCGUGGUGUUACUAGAAGUGAUCAGAAGCCUGCAGUAUGGGCAAUGUUUGCUGCUGUUUUUAAGUUGAUCAAUUUACCAUGGCCAUCAGAGAGCAGUUUGGGAAGUUUGAUAGCGUACUUGAGCCAGGAUGCCACUGCCUGCCUUGGAUCUUUUAGACAUGCGUAGUUGGGUAUCUCACACUCAGGUUGCAGCAGCUGGAUGUGCGCUAUGAAACUAAGACAAAGGUGGUUGAGCUGAAGCAUUGCCAAAGCAUUGCCACGGUGAAACAUUAGAUAUUGCUGAUUCUAAACUUGGAAAUGCUAUAAAAGAGAAGAAAAUUGACUGCGUUCACAACAGUGAUGUGAUGGAGCCGAUGAGAGGGCUCAGAAAUCAGCUUAGUGAGCUGGGCACACAUGACCUUGGUCCAAGGAGCUUGGACUUUUCCACAGCUUGUUAGAUAUAAGCUGAAGUUCAGUUCUGAAAAGGUGAGUCAAUACUGUGAUCUGUUCACUUGGCUGAACCAUGUUAGUACAGAGCUAAAUAUACAUAGAACACAUGCAAAGUUUCUGAAAGAUCUUAUUCAGAUGUUGUAAACGAGGUCAACUUGAUGCUUUUUGUCAAUAUUGCAUUACUACCAAAUAAAAUAAUGUGGCGUUGUGGUUUGAGACUGAUACAGAUACUUCACUUUUGGUGCGAAAAAUAUGUACUUCAGUAUUCGACUACUUGUGUGAGGGUGCACAUGUAAGCCAUGAUCGGUUUCUAGAGUAGGUUAUGUCUCCAUUAUGGAAUUUUCCAUACUAUGCAAUAACCUACUAAAAAAUGGAUAUUCUCAAAUAAUACUAAGAAAAUAUUAUUGAUUUCUAUAUAUUUUAAUAUGAGCACCUUUGUUUAGAGGAUUCUAUGUCUAAUUAGGUUCUAAUUUAUGAAGAUAUAUGCUCAUAUUUAUUUUGUUUGAUGCAUUUCUCAUCGAGAAACUGGAAUAUGAAACUGUGAUUAUCUAUCAGGUGAGGAACACAAGGGCUUGUAACAUGGAAAUAUAAUUGUAAGUGUAGUUUCAGGGAAGAACAUGCCGAAUAUAACGGCCAAAGAAGGAAGGGACAUGAGGCUGUAAUAUCUUUUUUGUUCCCAUUUCUUUCAGGAAGUCACAGCUAGAAAUGGUGGGUGGACAUAUAACUGCCUGUUAGCCCUUUUAUGUUUCUCUGAAUGAAGUAUGAGCUAAUGUUAGAUUCUUUUCCUGGUACAUAAUUGAUAUGUACAGUUACCACACAAUCAUGAUCACAAAUGUUUCCAACUGUCUGAAUCGUGUGAUUGCAAAGUAGAACCCAUAUGAUUGACACUGAUGA